CCCUGGUACAGAUAAGAAGCUGCCAAUAGAUCCAACUACAAAAACAUUUGAUUCACUCUACAGAGUAUUGAGUGUUUCAGAAAAAAAAAUCAAUGUAAAGAAGAAGAAGAUGAAGGAGAAUAUGAAGGAGAAGCAGGUUGAGGAGGAGAAGAUUGAGAUGAACAUGGAGGAGAAGAAGCAGAAUCUGGUUGAGGAUGAAGGUAGUCAACAGGAGGAAAGUGAAGAGGAGGACGGUGAAGAUGGGGAAAUUGGAGAGGAGGAAGGUGAAGAUGGGGCAAUUGGAGAUGCUAAAGUGGGGGGAGAUGGAGACAAG
rnacentral:misc_RNA from 1 species